GGCGAGGUAGCUCAAUGGCAGAGCACCGGACUCAUAAGCCGUAGGUUGUGGGUUCAAGUCCCACCCUCGCCA
rnacentral:tRNA from 1 species